AGCGGCGGAUGGGUGAGUAACACGUGGGGAACCUGCCCCUAAGUCUGGGAUACCAUUUGGAAACAGGUGCUAAUACCGGAUAAUAAAGCAGAUCGCAUGAUCAGCUUUUGAAAGGCGGCGUAAGCUGUCGCUAAGGGAUGGCCCCGCGGUGCAUUAGCUAGUUGGUAAGGUAACGGCUUACCAAGGCGACGAUGCAUAGCCGAGUUGAGAGACUGAUCGGCCACAUUGGGACUGAGACACGGCCCAAACUCCUACGGGAGGCAGCAGUAGGGAAUCUUCCACAAUGGACGCAAGUCUGAUGGAGCAACGCCGCGUGAGUGAAGAAGGUUUUCGGAUCGUAAAGCUCUGUUGUUGGUGAAGAAGGAUAGAGGUAGUAACUGGCCUUUAUUUGACGGUAAUCAACCAGAAAGUCACGGCUAACUACGUGCCAGCAGCCGCGGUAAUACGUAGGUGGCAAGCGUUGUCCGGAUUUAUUGGGCGUAAAGCGAGCGCAGGCGGAAAAAUAAGUCUAAUGUGAAAGCCCUCGGCUUAACCGAGGAACUGCAUCGGAAACUGUUUUUCUUGAGUGCAGAAGAGGAGAGUGGAACUCCAUGUGUAGUGGUGGAAUGCGUAGAUAUAUGGAAGAACACCAGUGGCGAAGGCGGCUCUCUGGUCUGCAACUGACGCUGAGGCUCGAAAGCAUGGGUAGCGAACAGGAUUAGAUACCCUGGUAGUCCAUGCCGUAAACGAUGAGUGCUAAGUGU
rnacentral:rRNA from 1 species